rnacentral:rRNA from 1 species
CUCUGCAACCAUAUCCUCUUGGGCUGAGAUCUCACAAACUGAACCAGGAUCAAGUCAGGUUAGCAUAUGGAUGGGAGACUGCCCAAGGAAAAGCCACUGUGUUGCAGGGA